GGUGGGGUUCCCGAGUGGCCAAAGGGAGCAGACUGUAAAUCUGCCGUCAUCGACUUCGAAGGUUCGAAUCCUUCCCCCACCA
rfam:Citrobacter koseri ATCC BAA-895, complete genome.